CUGCUCGCUUCAGCAGCACAUGCAAUGAAAUUGGAAGGAUACAGAGAUUAGCAUGGCCCCUGUGCAAGGAUGACAUGCAAAGUCGUGAAGCAUUCCAUAUUUUU
rnacentral:snRNA from 1 species